rnacentral:rRNA from 1 species
GACGAACGCUGGCGGCGUGCUUAACACAUGCAAGUCGAGCGGUAAGGCCCUUUCGGGGUACGACGAGCGGCGAACGGGUAGAGUAACACGUGGGUGACCUCGCCCUCCAGCUCUGGGAGUAAGCCCGGGAAACCGUAGGGUCGUAAUACCGGAUAUGACUUCAUGACGCAUGUUGUGGAGUGGAAAGCCUUGUGCGGCUGAGGAUGGGCCCGCGGCCUAUCAGCUUGUUGGUGGGGUGAGGCCUACCAAGGCGACGACGGGUAGCCGGCCUGAGAGGGC